AGUAUUGUGGCUGAUAAUAGGCAAUAAAUUGUAAAUUUAUUUAUAAAGUUUAUUCUUUCAAUACUA
rnacentral:tRNA from 2 species